GGGGAGUCUAAAAUAUCAACAUCACUAUUAGAAAUCUACAAUUCCUGGUUAAAAGACUCUAAAAAGAAACGACGGUCUGACUCCGUUAAACACUCCAGCUCCAAAUCAGAGCAAAAAGCAACAGCUUCAAAAGCUUCUCCUGCUGGCAAACUGAAGAAAAAGAAGGAUAAACCUGUAAAAAAAAACAAAAACACAAAAAAAGGUGAGUUUGUUUGUUUGUUAUUAGAGUUAUGACUGUCUUUAAUUUGAGUAAGCAGGCUGUUUAAAUGCAUUGCUUUAUAGUCUGUACAAGCAAAGAAGAAAUCUGCCAAAAAUGUCAUCAAGGCAAAGAAAUCCCCAAAGAAAGCUGCAGCAACUUCUGGUGGGGAUGAUUCAGACUCUGACAGUAGUCUGGAUGUGGAGAAAUGGAAGAAACGUGUCUUAGAGAUGACAGACGAUGACAUAACCAAGAUGGAAAUUAUCAAUGCUCUAGACUUGUCUGCACCACAGCCCCAGAAAAAGAGAGUGAGAAAGCCACGAGCUAAGCCUCCUGGAGGGACUGAUGGACAAAACAAAAAGGGAGCUGUGACAAGGACACCUGCAAAGAUUAUUACACCCAAGAAGAGCAGUCCAAAAAAGGCUGUGAGCUUGUCUGCCUCUCAGAGCCAGGAGAACGAUGUCACCACUGUGGAAGACACGCCAGCUACACCUACGCCUGCUGUGUCACCUUUGAAACACACAGGAGCCAAAGAGAAAAAGAAGUCUGUGACUCCCAGCAAAGAAAACGCUGAUGAGACAACAUCCGAGCCCAAGAAGAAGCACAAGAAGAAAGCUAGUGAGGACAAAGCUUCUGAGGAUGGUGCAGAUGGAAAAGAAAAAGACACUGAAGACAAGAAGGAAAAUAUAGAUGUCUCAGAACAAGGGUUAAGUGAUAAACCUCUGAAAGAGAAGAAGACAAAGAAAAACAGCAGUAAGAGCGAGACAGGAGAAGAAAUGAUGGAGCAAAACAGCCAUGGAAGUGCUGAGAAUGAGCUGCCAGAGCCAACAGCAAGUGGAAAGGAAGCACAGAAGAAGAAACAGGGGGAAAUUAAUAGUCAGGGAAGUUCUGAGGAGGUAGUUGAAGAAAUAAAAGUAAAGAAGAAGAAAAAAAAGAAGGCUGAAAAAACAGAAAAUCCAGAAGACAAUGUUAUAGAAGAGCAAGAAAAUUCAGAGCAAGUGACAGAAGGUGAAGACAAACAAAACACUGAGCAGAUAACUGAAAAGAAACCAAAGAAAAAGAAGAAGAAAGCUGAUAAUGAGGAAAUGUCAGAACAAAGUAAAGAAGAAAGUGUUGCAGAAAAAAAGGCAAAGAAGAAGAGAGUUGAUAGUGAGGAAACACCUAAACAUGUUGAAGUGGAGAAAGAAACGAAUGAAGAAGAGCGGAUGGAGAGAGUUGAUGAUGUGUCUAAUAAUAAAGUGGAAGAGGAGACAGGAAAAAAUACUGCAGAAAAGAAAGCAAAGAAGAAGAAGAGAGCUGAACCUGAAGAACACGUUGAGGAGGAGGCAGAAAAUAAAAUAAAGAAGAAACGGGAGAAAAGGAAUCACGAUGAGAAGCAUUCAGAACUGGUAGUUGAAGAAAAGAAAAGAAAGAAAAAACAAAGAGAAAGUUGAACAUAAUGGGGAAAUAUCAGAUCGGCCCGUUGAAGAGAAGGAAAUCACACAAAGACCAGAGAACAGUGACAUAGAGGAGAACCCUGACCAAAACAAUAAGGUGAAAAAGAAAAGGAAGAAGGACCUGAAUUCAGCCGAUGCAGAGCCAACACUACCAGCCACCCCUGAGACUCUAGAUCCUCCAACAGAGAAGAAGAAAAGUGGGUCUCUCAAGCGUCAUGGCACAUUUUGAUUUGUUUUCUGUAUUGACU
rnacentral:lncRNA from 1 species